CUGCAGAAUUAAAAAGUUUCAAAACAGUAAACUAAUAUUUCUAACAUGUAGAGAUCGUAAAUACGAAUCUAACGCAAUUUGAAUGGAUAAAAACGGAGUUAAAACGAAUAUUUUAUGAGCAAAACAAAAUCAGUGGCAAUCUUGUAAAUAGCAGAAAAAACAUUUUUUUUUUCAACCGGCCGUCACCAGCUCCGGUGCGGUGGCUCCAUUGCCGGCCGUUUCGGAGCUCGCCGGCGACGACGGACUUCUCGAUUCCGAGCACCGUUUCGCGAAAGGAAAACACCGGGAUGAAGAGGAGCUCACCACGAUCUCAUCUAAGCGCUUGGUUGGGUCCGAGAGAUGACGAAGACGGCUCGCGGCGUACGGAGAUGGAGUUGGCUUUCGGCGAGAUCCGAAACCGCUCGGUUUUAGGUGGCUAAGGCUUGGCUUCGCGUUUUAGAUGCAAAAGGGGUUCGCUGCGGUGCUAGGGAGCUUUAUAGGGCGCGGAGGAAACGAUUUUGGGAAGAAAUCCCGACUUCCAGCGAUUCGGUUUGGCUUCCGGUUGGUGUCUGCUCGGUGACGCUCGGAAGAUGAACAAGACACUGCGCUGCGGGGCCAGGCUGCCAGUCACAGAAAGGAGGGGAUCAGCGCGCGGGCUUCCUGGGCCGCGCUGGGCCGAGGCGAGGGGAAGGGGAUGCUCGGGCUGCGGCCUGGGAGGCUUCUUUUUUUUUUUUUCUAUUUCCAAUUUCUUUUCUGUUUUGUUUUAUUUUUUUUUUCAAAGUUUUUUUUUUUAGAAAGGAUUUUGAGGACAAUUAAAUAUAAACCAAAUACAAUCACCACAAAAAAAAAUAUGUCUCAGCAUGAAUGCACAAAAUCAUGUUACUAAGCUUAUGAUAAAUUUUAAAUUUCCACAAAAAAUGUUUAUUUGCUACAUUAAAUGCUCACUAAAAUUCUUAAAUAAUUCAAAUUAAAUCCUAUUAAUUCCAAAUCAAAUUUUGGGUGUUACAGUUAUCCAUUGUGACAUGUUUGUCUUCAACCCAUUGACAUCGAAACACAUGGAUCUGAAAUGUGCCAUAGUCUAGUUCCCAUAUAUCCUCAAUAAAGACAAAGUAUGUACUAAUCUCACCAAUGUCAUCGUCUAUGGCCUCACGUCAACAUAACUAUUUUGUGUCAUGCUUGAUUUGUACUGGGACUUAGUACAAAAUGUGAAGCCACUAAUGUCAUAUGCUUGCCAUGUUGAGACCUAGCGUGAUGGUCUAGAUACCAAUAUCUUGAUGGUUUGUUCCUCAAUUGUUUCCCCAUAUGGAAUGUUCUGCUCUAUUAGCCAUGUGCUGAACUGAUUCUUUUGUUCCUUCAUUGCCCAAUCGUUAGUGUGUCCAUGCUUAUGUUUGCGAAGCUCAUUCAUGUGUUGCUUGAUCAAAGGCUCUAUUAUCGAGAGGUGAUAUAGGAUGCUAUGAUGUGCCUCAAGAAAUGUAUUAUAAUCUAGAGAGAUGAAUGAUUUGCGCCCUAUAUAUUCUCCUACAUCUAUGUAGACUAUCCUUGUGUCAUUGUGAAGGGAGAACUAUUGCCACCUAGUCUUUUAGGACACUAUUAUAAAAUGGACCUUCAGACUAAAUAGCCUCUUCAGUACAGUAGCCCUCUACCAUGGACGUCUCAGGACUAGCACUAGUUGAUACAUAGCUAUUUAGUAUUGACAUGAAACACCCAUACGUCCAUGUUUCAUGCAAGUACAUGGGACCCAAUGCUUGUAUUUGUGGAACCAUGUGCACCACAAGGUGCACCAUCAUAUCAAAUAAUGAUGGGGGAAACACAUCUCUAAUUGUGACACUGUCUCCACUGCAAAUUCCUAAAGAGACACCAACCUAUCACGGUCAAUUAUCUUUCGUGAGAUCUUGUUAAAAAAGUAACACAACCGGGUGACGACCAUGUUUAUGAGCACAUGAUUUAUAGCCCUAAUGGCAAUAGGGUGGAAAGUAGUUAGCAUGACAUGACAAAUAUAUGAAUUGUAGUUGGUUAGUAUAGGGUCUUUCAUUGAUACAAUAAUCUAUAUGCUAGAGCAGAGUCUAGAUGGGACUUUCAAAUUCUUCAAUGACACACACAUCGCAUGUUUCUCAUCUAUGUUGAGGUUGUAGCUCGCUACCGGGAGAUGGUAUUUCCCAUUUUCUUGAAGAACAGGGUGAACUUCCUUUUUUAUGUCUAACUGUACCAUGUCCAUGCAUGAAUUGAGUCCUUCCUUUGUCUUUCUCUAUGUCUAGCAAGGUGCCAAUAAGCCUUUCAAACCCAUUCUUUUGAACGUGCAUACCUUCAAUCGCUUG
rnacentral:lncRNA from 1 species